rnacentral:rRNA from 1 species
AUUGAACGCUGGCGGCAUGCCUUGCACAUGCAAGUCGAACGGCAGCACGGGAGCAAUCCUGGUGGCGAGUGGCGAACGGGUGAGUAAAGUAUCGGAACGUGCCCAGUCGUGGGGGAUAACGUAGCGAAAGUUACGCUAAUACCGCAUACGAUCUAUGGAUGAAAGCGGGGGAUCGCAAGACCUCGAGCGAUUGGAGCGGCCGAUAUCAGAUUAGGUAGUUGGUGGGGUAAAGGCCCACCAAGCCAACGAUCUGUAGCUGGUCUGAGAGGACGACCAGCCACACUGGAACUGAGACACGGUCCAGACUCCUACGGGAGGCAGCAGUGGGGAACUUUGGACAAUGGGCGAAAGCCUGAUCCAGCCAUUCCGCGUGCAGGAUGAAGGCCCUCGGGUUGUAAACUGCUUUUGUACAGAACGAAAAGGUUUCUACUAAUACUAGGAGCUCAUGACGGUACUGUAAGAAUAAGCACCGGCUAACUACGUGCCAGCAGCCGCGGUAA